rnacentral:rRNA from 1 species
ACGGAGGGUGCGAGCGUUAAUCGGAAUGACUGGGCGUAAAGCGCGCGUAGGUGGUUAGUUAAGUUGGAUGUGAAAGCCCAGGGCUCAACCUUGGAAUUGCAUCCAAAACUGAUUGACUAGAGUACAAUAGAGGGGGGUAGAAUUUCAGGUGUAGCGGUGAAAUGCGUAGAGAUCUGAAGGAAUACCAGUGGCGAAGGCGGCCCCCUGGAUUGAUACUGACACUGAAGUGCGAAAGCGUGGGUAGCAAACAGG